CAGCUGUGGCAAUCAUGGAGGACGCCCACCUGCUUCUCUCCCCCAAGGCGGUUGCCGCCUCGCCGCCGUCGCCGGCCGGCGGCGGCGCGGCGGCGAAGGGUCUGGAGCGGCGGGAUCGCGAACGCCGGGGCCGGUGGAUGGAUCGACACGGAUUUGCGUAAUUGUAGGUGUCGCAGAACCAGAUUUCAAGCAAUUAAAGCUUGGCUGAGCUCAUGCAAAUUCUAUCGAAUUUUGGGCUUCGAAAAGUAGCAUGGACGAGGAAGCAUGGAGAAGUACAUAAUGGAGGUCAUCGGGAUGCAUUUGUCGCCCUGGCCACCGAGUUGUGCGCACCACCUAUGGCUACAAGACGGGCGCAAAGUGACAAGAGAGAGAAGAGAAGGAGGGAAGAAGAGGAGGAAUCAGCGGAGGAAACGAAGAAGAGGAGCCCUGUGCUGGCAGUUUAAAAGAAGUAAGCUGACUACACUAGAAAGGAAAGGUGGAAGUAUGGACCCAGGUUACACAAGGGGCAAAGCUAGAAAGAUUUAACAGAGAAGACCAGGCAAUCAGAGCCAAGUUAUUACUACAAAGGCUGCCAGUUGCUAUGGGGUGUCCAAAUCAAGAUCCAAUGUUUGGAUCCUGAUCAAUCUGGAGAUAACAUGCAUCAUCACAUAAUCGUCAAAGUAACCAGCAAAAAGAGCACACAACGUGCAACUAGUUAAGCAAAUGUGUGUUUGUGAGUCAUGACAAUGUAAUAUAAAUCAUUACUUUGCAAAUGUAUAUCAUCAUACCUAAGAUUGGCUAUGCAAUAUGUCGAUUUCAACAGAUCUAGGGAACUUCACAAAUUAGUGUCGUCAUUAGUUCUCUACAGAGUACCAUAAAUAUAUAUGUAUCAAAAUCUGUUUGCAUAUACACUAUCACAUGUUCAUUUCUUAUA